UACAGAGGGUGCGAGCGUUGUUCGGAAUUAUUGGGCGUAAAGGGCGCGUAGGCGGUGCGGUAAGUCACCUGUGAAACCUCUGGGCUUAACUCAGAGCCUGCAGGCGAAACUACCGUGCUGGAGUGUGGGAGAGGUGCGUGGAAUUCCCGGUGUAGCGGUGAAAUGCGUAGAUAUCUGGAGGAACACCGGUGGCGAAGGCGGCAUCCUGGACCGACACUGACGCUGAGGAGCGAAAGCCAGGGGAGCAAACAGG
rnacentral:rRNA from 1 species